CACGUAGGGGGCAAGCGUUGUCCGGAUUUAUUGGGCGUAAAGAGCUCGUAGGCGGUUCGGCAAGUCGGGUGUGAAACCCCCAGGCUCAACCUGGGGACGCCACCCGAUACUGCUGUGACUUGAGUCCGGUAGGGGAGCGUGGAAUUCCUGGUGUAGCGGUGAAAUGCGCAGAUAUCAGGAGGAACACCGGUGGCGAAGGCGCUGCUCUGGGCCGGUACUGACGCUGAGGAGCGAAAGCGUGGGUAGCAAACAGG
rnacentral:rRNA from 1 species